GACGAACGCUGGCGGCGUGCUUAACACAUGCAAGUCGAGCGGAAAGGCCCCUUUUGGGGUGCUCGAGCGGCGAACGGGUGAGUAACACGUGAGUAACCUGCCUUUGGCUUUGGGAUAACCCUCGGAAACGGGGGCUAAUACCGGAUGUGACCUUCCACCGCAUGGUGGGGGGUGGAAAGUUUUUUCGGCUGAAGAUGGGCUCGCGGCCUAUCAGCUUGUUGGUGGGGUGAUGGCCUACCAAGGCGGUGACGGGUAGCCGGCCUGAGAGGGCGACCGGCCACACUGGGACUGAGACACGGCCCAGACUCCUACGGGAGGCAGCAGUGGGGAAUAUUGCACAAUGGGCGCAAGCCUGAUGCAGCGACGCCGCGUGGGGGAUGACGGCCUUCGGGUUGUAAACCUCUUUCGGUAGGGACGAAGCCGUGAGGUGACGGUACCUGCAGAAGAAGCGCCGGCCAACUACGUGCCAGCCGCCGCGGUAACAC
rnacentral:rRNA from 1 species